GAUGAACGCUAGCUACAGGCUUAACACAUGCAAGUCGAGGGGCAGCGCAGUGUAGCAAUACAUUCGUCGGCGACCGGCGCACGGGUGAGUAACGCGUAUGCAACCUACCCGACACAGGGGAAUAACCCGAAGAAAUUCGGACUAAUACCGCAUAAAACAGGGGUCCCGCAUGGGGAAUAUUUGUUAAAAGAGAUAUCGGUGUCGGAUGGGCAUGCGUUCCAUUAGCUUGUUGGUGAGGUAACGGCUCACCAAGGCGACGAUGGAUAGGGGUUCUGAGAGGAAGGUCCCCCANACUGGUACUGAGACACGGACCAGACUCCUACGGGAGGCAGCAGUGAGGAAUAUUGGGUCCAAUGGGCGAAAGCCUGAACCAGCCAAGUCGCGUGAAGGACGACGGUCCUAAGGAUUGUAAACUUCUUUUGUCGGGGAGUAAAGGCAGUUACGUGUAACUGUUUGCAAGUACCCGAGAAAAAGCAUCGGCUAACUCCGUG
rnacentral:rRNA from 1 species